UUCAAAACGUGCAUUUUUAAGACUCUGAAACCUACCCAGCCAUUCCAUUUCUUCAUCCCAUUUGAAUUCCCGCGUGUUUCUCUCGGUGUCUUCCAGCUUCAAAGCCCGCCGUCUUGCCAUCGCCCCUCCUCUGCUCUGGUUCUUGUGUCGUCAUCACACAUCUUCAACUCAGCACCCCGUGUCGCCGUCGCCCAUCCUCUGCCCAGCACCUCGCAUCGCCAUCGCCACUCCCUCUGUGCCCAACAUAGCAUCAUUUUUUCCAUGGCCUGAAAACUGAUAAGGUUUAAGAUACGGGGUUAUCAGUUAAGGUCCGAGAAAAAAUAAUUUUUGGGGGCAAAUUUCUGUUUGUCCGGGGUUUUUAUGAUGGAAUGGCAGCUUGUGGGCACCGAGAUUCAUGGCUUCCAUACAUUGCAAGAUUUAAGAAGCCAGAGCAAGGUGGCUUUGCCCAAGUGAAAUUCAUGCAAUACUUUGCAAUUACAAGUAUUUCACAAUCAAUGUCAAGCCACUGACCUUGCCCCAAAGUAAUUUCCUAUUUCUCUGGCUUUCCUCCAAGAAAGGUAUGCCCCUAUUUCUAUUUUCAAUCUCUCCCAUAAAUCACACUAAUGAUUUAUAUCUUGUUCGUUUUCUGUUUUUUUACCCUUGAAUAUGAGAGAGAGUAGUGUUGGAUUUGAAGAUAUAUGAUGCCUUAGAAGCUGUAACACUUUUUCUGUUUCUUUUUAAUACUAGUUGUUUAAUACUAGUUAGUGGGAGGGAGCAGCCUAUAGAUAGAAAUCUUUUUUCCAUGUUUGCUAUAAUGGCUGGGUACCUGCUAUAUAUUGUACUUUCAGGAUGAAUUUUGAUGGCACCACUUGCUUUAUGUGUCACGAAUUUGUAAAUCAUUAUACAGGUUUGGUUAGAUUGUAGUCUUGUCUAGGAAAUUGCAACUGCAUGUUAAUUGUGUUAGUAGUAGUUCCUAGUAAUGCUCCUGUAGGAUUUAAUUGAUCUUGUUGUGAGUUCAAUGGUGUCUUUCCCGCCACAAAGUCUUUAAUAAACUUGAAGUUGGUGAGUUUGAUCCCUUCCACCAGUUUAGCCUCUUUUGUUUUGGCAGACAUUUCUAAUCUUUAAUUUCAUUCCCUAAUUUUGGAAUAAUAUUAUAGUUUUGGGUAAUUUAUUUGAUCGCAAAUUUUAUGCUUUUAUAGUGAUGGACUUAAAGUAGGUGUGAAUUAAUUCAAUAACUUUAGUGGAGAAAUACCAUCAUGGAUGGCCUUUUUUACCAAGCUUCAAAAAUUGUUUCUUUAUGGUAACAAUUUCGUAGGCACCAUUCCUCCGAAUAUAGGAAACCUUUCAUUUCUUGUGAGCUUAAGCAUCGGAAACAACAGUUUUCAUGGCUCAAUUGCAAAUGAUUUGUCUCAUCUUCACCGGUUGGAAUUCUUAGACUUUGGAUAUAAUGAAUUUAGCAGAUAAAUCCCUUCAUGGAUGGGGUUGCUAACCAAACUCCGAUAUCUGUAUCUUGAUAAUAACAGUUUUGUGGGUACUGUUCCACAAAUCUUUAUCGAACAUAUCUUCACUGCAACUUAUUAGUCUUGCAUACAAUCAACUUUUGGGCUCCAUACCUUCCUCUAUCUUCAAUAUAUCUUCCUUGCAAGGAAUUUUUCUUGGAGCAAACAAGAUUUCAGGUUCGAUGCUCUCCAUUUUCUUCAACAUGCCUUCACUGCAAGCCAUUGACCUCGUCGAUAAUAUGCUAUCUGGUGCGCUACCAAUAUUGAUGUUUGAUAAUCUUCCCAACAUACAAUAUUUUUCCAUCACUGGCAAUCAGUUUUCUGGCCGUCAACUCCCACCCAUUUUGUAUAAGUACGAAAAGCUACAAAUUCUAUCCCUAUCAAGAAAUUAUUUCACAGGAUGGCUACUCCUGGAGACAGGGAACUUGACCAUGCUUACAGAGUUGCAUCAUGGUGACAACAACUUUAAAGGUAUCUUUUAAAUUUAUUUUAGUCAAUCACAAUCUUUAACCGAUUAGCAAAACGCCAUUGUAUUCCAUAUUGACCCUUCUCUUAGUCCCUCCCUUUUUGCUUAGAAUGUCAAUUAGAAUUCAAAAGCAUUUAUUUUAAGUAUUUCGUCAAUGCCUACCAUUUUAUAAUUAGAAGAAUCAUUUGUUGUCAAUCUAGAUGGUCACUUCAGAUCCAUUCACCUACCCAUUUUAUAUAUUGUACCUAUAAAUACUACAUGACAUGGAUCAAUUAAGAAAACUACACCCAAGUGCUUUCAGCACUUGGUCAUUUUCUUACUGCUAAGUUGUAUGUGUGAUUCAGUACAACCACUUUUUUUGUUAAUUGAAAUGCACUUAUUAUUCAUAUUAUGGCCGGUGCAAUACCCAGUGAGAUUGGUAAUCUGCUGAACCUAGAGAUUUUUAGUAUCUCAAUCAACAAUUUUGCUGGAUCAAUUCCAUUUGAAAUCUUCAAUAUUUCAACAAUACAAGUUAUUGCAAUGGAGGGAAAUCAACUCUCAGACCAUCUCCCAACAAAUGCAGGCGUCUUCCAAAUCUACGGCAGCUUAUUCUUGGAGAGAAUAAACUUGCAGGAUCAAUUCCCAAUUCAAUUUCCAAUGCUUCCCAGCUCACUCUCAUAGACUUGAGUUGGAACUCAUUCACGGGCACAAUUCCAAACACGAUUGGUAAUUUGAGGCUCCUCUAGUGGCUCAACCUAGGAUUCAAUAAUUUGACUAAUGAAUCUCCAUAAUUGAGUUUUUUGUCUUAUGUGGAAAAGUGCAUACAUCUAGACAUAUUCCAGCAUGCUUAAAUAAUAUGACUUCUUUAAGAGCUCUCUACUUAGGCUCUAACCAAUUGACUUCUACAAUUUGUUUGAGCUUAUGGAGGCUUUCAUAUCUUUUGGAGCUUGACCUGUCAAUAAAUUCUCUAAGUGGCCAUAUUGCAUUAGAGAUUGGAAAUAUGAGUGUCUUGAGAAUAUUGGAUUUGUCAACAAAGAAUAUUGGAUUUGUCAACAAAUCAACUCUCAGAUGAUAUCCCAGUAACGAUUGGUGACCUUAAAGAUCUAACCAAUCUCUCUCUGGCAUUCAAUCGACUAGAAGGUUCAAUUCCUUUACAUUUUGGUGCACUGGUAGGCUUGGAGUUCUUAGAUCUUUCUUAUAACAAUUUAUCUGGUCAGAUUCCCAAGUCUUUAGAAGUGCUCUUAUAUCUCAAACAUCUAAAUGUCUCAUUUAAUAAACUACAAGGAGAAAUUCCUGAAAGAGGACCAUUUUUAAACUUCUCAGCUGCAUCAUUUAUGUCAAACAAUGCACUCUACAGUGUGAGUCGAUUACACAUUUCCCCAUGCAAAGGAGGUGCUUCUUUUCCAAAAAUACUAAAGUAUAUAUUACCUUCAAUUGGUCUAAUAAUGCUUGCAUCAUCCAUUUCAUUAGCCUGAACAAGAUUAUGCCAAAGGAGGAAUGCCAAUUUGUCAGGUGACGCAAACAUAUCACCUUUAGCAACAUGGAGAAGAAUUUCACACCAAGCAGUUCUACAUGCAACAGAAGGUUUUAGUGCAAACAACAUACUUGGAGAAGGGAGUUUUGGGUCAGUUUAUAACAGAACACUCUUAGAUGGUACAAAUGUUGCAAUAAAAUUUUUAAAUUUGCAAUUAGAAAGAGCGUUCAAAAGUCUUGAUAUAGAAUGCGGGAUAUUAUGCAAUAUUCGACACCGAAAUCUUGUCAAAAUCAUCAGUGCUUGUAGUAACAUAGACUUCAAGACCUUGGUACUAGAAUACAUGCCUAAUGGGAACCUAGAUAUGUGGUUCUAUUCCGAAAACCUUGUUUGGAUAUGUUACAGAGGCUAAAUAUAAUGAUUGAUGUAGCGGCAGCACUAGAAUACCUUCAUCUUGGUUAUUCAACACCUAUAGUUCAUUGUGAUUUGAAGCCAAACAAUGUCCUGUUGGAUGCAUAUUUGGUUGGACAUAUCUCUGAUUUUGGUAUUUCAAAACUCCUAAGUGAUGGGGUUUCUUUGACACAAACCAUGACUCUUGCUACAAUUGGAUAUAUGGCACCAGGUAAUGUAAAAUGCCUUUCUAUAAUCAUUCUUGUUGUAUGCAUAUACAUAUUUAUUCUCUUUUUGUAGCAUUGACCUCCACACUUCAAUUCAUUCUAUUAUCUUCUUAUCAUUUAUAGAAUAUGGAUCUGAAGGAGUUGUUUCUACCAUGGGGGAUGUGUAUAGUUUUGGCAUUUUACUGAUGGAAACUUUCACAAAAAAGAAGCUCACUGAUGAAAUGUUUAGUGAAUGAAUGAGCUUGAAGAAAUUGGUGGAGGAGUCCGCGUUAUCCCUUUCAGUAGUUGAAGUUACUAAUGCAAAUUUGUUAAGAAACGAAAGUGAUUGUGCUGCUAUGGAGGAGUGUUUAUCAUUAACUAUGGGAUUAGCUUUGGGCUACUAAAUAGAUUCACCUGAACAGAGGAUUGACACACAAAACAUUUCAACUACACUUAACAAGAUCAAAUUAAAGUUUCUCAAAAAUAUUGGGGGCUAAUGUAAGAGACUCAAGUUUGUUUACGAAUAUUAAUUUCAUGUUUGUGACACAUCAAUAGGUUUCAUGUGUUUGCUUUCCCAGACAUACUACAUUAACCUAAUAUACUUGUUCUUGAAUUAUGUUUAUGGCUUUAUUCAAUACUUGUUCUUGAAAUCUGUUUAUGGCUUUAUGUGAUUCUGUUUAAUUAUAACCUUGGAAUCUAAUACCAAACUUAUUUUAACCAAUUAUUAUGGGCAAUGUGGCUCUCUCAAAUGAAAUAAAUAUCGGCUUCUGGACCUAGAUUUUAUUAUGUUUGGUCAUCUAGAGCGUCUAGAACCUCCAACAUAAAAUAAUAAAACACCCAAAGUGAAGACAAUGCUGGAUAAAGUAACUUAAAAUUAUAUGCUUGAAUCUUUUACUGUGAUCAUCAAUCAAAUCAAUCGAUGGCUAGGAUCUGAGAGAACCAAAUAACCCAAUAUUUUCUAAGAUACAAAGAUCAUCUUUGUUUAUACAAAGUGCGGUCUACUGAUAAAUUCUGUGUUCCUUAUUCUCAGUUAAUAUUUUUGCAGAUUUUUUCACUCCCCCUGUCCCCUCUUUUACUCUUUAUGGGUUGACUUCAGUGAUUGGAGUUUGGAUCAUUCCAGGAGAAGAAUUUUAGAUGUGAUGUGGCUAUUUUUAAUGGCUAGGAUUUGAUUACGGGUUAUUCAAACCGACAAGGAGAUUGAUAAAUAAAUUGUAAUUAAUUUGAUGGUGUUGAUGUUUUAUAUAUCACUUUAUGUACUUGAGGAACUUUGUUGGAUGUAAUGGUGUUGAAAUAGAAAUUUAGGUGCUACUGUCAUGUGUUGAUGGUUGAAUGUAGAUGUCUAGGUUAGUGGAAGAAGAAUCAAAUUAUCAAUUAGUGAGAUGUUUGAGUUUAUGCAAAAGCGUUAUGCAAAGAUAGCUAUCACAAUCAAACUG